UCGAGCGGUAACAGGGGGAGCUUGCUCCCUGCUGACGAGCGGCGGACGGGUGAGUAAAGCUUAGGAAUCUGCCUGGUAGAGGGGGAUAGCCCGGGGAAACUCGGAUUAAUACCGCAUACGCCCUUCGGGGGAAAGCAGGGGAUCUUCGGACCUUGCGCUAUCGGAUGAGCCUAAGUCGGAUUAGCUAGUUGGUGGGGUAAAGGCUCACCAAGGCGACGAUCCGUAGCUGGUCUGAGAGGAUGAUCAGCCACAUCGGGACUGAGACACGGCCCGAACUCCUACGGGAGGCAGCAGUGGGGAAUAUUGGACAAUGGGCGCAAGCCUGAUCCAGCCAUGCCGCGUGUGUGAAGAAGGCUUUCGGGUUGUAAAGCACUUUCAGUGAGGAGGAAGGCCUUAAGGUUAAUACCCUUGAGGAUUGACGUUACUCACAGAAGAAGCACCGGCUAACUCCGUGCCAGCAGCCGCGGUAAUACGGAGGGUGCAAGCGUUAAUCGGAAUUACUGGGCGUAAAGCGCGCGUAGGUGGUUUGAUAAGCGAGAUGUGAAA
rnacentral:rRNA from 1 species